ACUGCGUUGUUUGGCGACCCCUGUGAAAUGGUCGUUCGACCCCAAAUGGGGUCCCGACCCACAGGUUGAGAACCACUGCAUUAGAGUAAUGUGAAUACCAGUAAUAUUAUAUUGUGGUGUUAAUAUUUUUAAACAGGUAUGCAAGAGAUUGGGAUCAACAAAGGAAAGCAGCAAUCACACAUAGAAAAGGUCAAAUAAAAUUGCUAUAAUCUAAGCAAGUUACAUAUAACUACUUACCUGGAUUUCAGAUUAUAUUGUAGAGAAGAUCAUUGUGAUUGGGCAUGCUUUUUUUUUCAGUUUUCAUCGUCUUGAGAGCAAUUAUUUCAGUUUCAUAAAACUUAGGCCAAAGACUACCUCUUAAGAAAGACUUGACUGUUGUGCUACUCAAACACUGCACCUUGCAUCUUAUGACAGAAGUUUAGCUACAAAUCAAAAAAGUAUUGACCAAAGUAUUCUAGACAUUAUUCUGUACUUGAGUCAUAAAGAAAUGCUGCAAUUUUCUUCAGAUAAAGUACUGUGUGGAAUUAACUUAUUUCUUACAGUGGGGAACAAAGGUGAAUUCUCAUCUAUUAAAUAUUCCAAACAUAGGGCUAACUUGCCCAAUUCUAAAAAAUAUCAGCAUAUCAGGGUUUUUCACUCUCAGGAGAUAGAGGUCUGAUUACCAAUAUAAAGACAAGCCAAAGGAAAGUAGUAUAAAUAAUAAUCAAAUGGUAGUAUAAAUAAUACUAACCAAAUUCUAUAGUGCUUUGAUUCAGAUUGGAUAAAAAGUAUUUGUUCCAUGGCUUUUUUCUCUACUAUAAAAUUGAGCUAUGUAAAAUAGCUAUUACAUUUCUAAAAUACCCAAAUAAAUGGAUGUGCUAUUGAUUCAAUUUGUGCAAUUAAAAUGCAUGCUUUUGAAGGAAGAGAGGGCCUAUCUAUUCUUUCAUCCUUUCUUAGUUGCUAUUUGUAAUAGAAGAAUGCCUUCAAGAGAAUAAGAUCCCUCUUAAGGUUUGUUUGUUUAUUCUGUCUGCAAUAAAGACAAGUACCAUUUAAAUGUUUGAAAUGUGAGACAUCAGAUUUAAUCUUUGGGCUAACAGAAGACUCCUGUUUGAUAUUGGAUGAAUCAUUGAUGGAUUUCCUAUCCCAUCUCAGAGGAAGGUUUCUGUAGAGAUGAAUAUUGAUAGGGAGCAAAAUGAGUUGCUCCAAGCUUUGGAGGAAACUAGGAGUAAAGUUCAAAUUACAGCUGACACUGUGGACAGCAAAUUCCAAGUUUCAUUACUUUUUAAAAAUAAAAUGCUAAGGAUGGAUCUAGCUUUGGUAAUGGAUCCCACUCUUGAAAAUAAUGAAAUAGAUCUAAAUCUGAUAUUUUUAUAAAUGCUGUAUUUAUAAAUGCAAUUUUUUUAAAAUUUUGAUGGAUCAACAUCAUGAUCAAUUAGACAACGAUAGAUUACACAUAUAAGGACAAAAUAAUUUAAUUAAGCUUAAAGUUUUAUACUCUGACUUGAUGCUACACCCGUUACAAGUAGUCAACUUACAACUGAUUAACAAUGGUUCAGAGGUAUGAUGAACUUGGAAAAAGUAACUUACAACCUGUACUGUCAGUUAUGAUCAUUGCCCCUCCCUCGUGGUCAUAUGACCACAGUUCAGCACUUGGCAACCAGCCUUGCAUUUACACAUGAUUGCAGUGUUUUAAGGUCACAUGAUUGCAAUUUGUAACCUUUUUGUUGAUUUCCAACAAAAAAAACCAUGGGAAAGUUGGAUACAUUUAACAACCAUAUAAUUCCCUUAACUACUGCUGUAAAAAUUAUUGUAAGGCCAACUUUGAUUUAUGAUCACAACAAUGGAAAUUGUUCUGGUCAUAAGGAUUAUCUGUACCUUAUUCUUUCCUGAAAAUGGAUUAGAGAUCAGUUACAUUUUGUUGGUAUAUAAUUGCCUGAUCUUGUAUAAUGUAAAACCAAACUAACCAUUUUAUGACUAAUGCAAUGUGUGAAUGCAGCCACGUAUGCAGUUUUCUUGGCAAUACUUUUGAAAGUAGUUACCAUUGCCUUUUUCCUAGUGCUGAAAGAGAGGGACUUGUGCCUAAGGCAGAACUAGAAGUCAUAACUACCUGGUUCCUAUUUCAGGGCCUUUAACAAUAACUAUAAUGCUCUAGCAUUUUUAUUUAGAAAGCCUUUGGUAAUUAAAUCUGACAAUAAAUAUAUGUGAUUUGAGUGUUUGUUGAUGAAUAUGCAUUUUAUUGCUCCAAUAUGCAUUUGAAGUCCUUGUUAUGUGCCAAAUUCUCUUCAUAAUGCUGGACAUCUACAGUAUAUAUUGGUGAUAUUAUUGAAAGAAUGAGGGUUGAGUAAACUACUGGUGAUCAUACUCUUGUGCCCUGGAACAUUUUAUGUUAUACUUCAAGAAUGUUCAGGCUCUUGAGCCCUUCUCAUUAAUCAAUUUACAUCCCAAUUAAAAUGUUCAAGGAAGCCUAGAUAUUCAAUCUGGACAUAUAUUAGGUUUUGCUCCUGCAUAGGAAUGACAAUACUACCAGCAGUAAUUAUUUUCUAAUUUUGGAAUGAUCUUGGCUCUCACUUAAAAUUUAUUUUUAGGUAAAUGAGAAAAAAAAGAAAAAAUACUUUGUUUAAAAAGCUAGAAAAGCAAAUAUUGUAUCCACUGAUUGUGAAUACUUCAAAAAAAAAUUGAGGAAUUCCAGUGGAAAUGUGUGUAUAGUCAUUAGGAAAAGUAUAGCUUUAGCAUAUUGAAGGAACAGAGUUUCCCCUUGACUAGAGAUAAAUGGUCUUGUUCUGAUAACCUGUUUAAUUCAAAGCAGUCAUUAAACCAGUCAAAUCUUUAAUAGUUCUGACCACACACAAUCCUACCAAAUUAAAGAAAAAAAUACAACUUGGGGAAUAUAGAACAAGGCUAUAUUACAUUGAAGGAAAUAAAAAUUAAGGAAAUAAAAGUUAUUCUUUUAAUAAUUGUAGAAAUAAUUGUAGAAAUGUAAUGCCAUUAUAUGAAACUGUCUCUUUAGUACUAAUGUAAUGCUGUAACACAAAUGUAACAAUGCAAUGCCAAUAUAUGACCAAAUGUUUACUAUAUCCUGCCUAAAAAUCUCCCGGACAUAGGAAAUUACACUUUAAGUGGAAAUCCUACUAUCAAAGAAGGGGAUUUUAACCCAAAGUGAGAAUUCCAGAUAAAAAAGAUAACAGCAGAUGGACGGAAGAGGUCAGGUUAACAAAGUACCACUUCAGAGAAAACCACUAAGAUGAAAGAGAUGUGACAAUGCAUUGUAGGGCUAUAAAAUGCAAAACCUGAAACCAGGCCAGUGUGCUCCUGGAAUCCAAUCCAUAGGGAAGGAUCCAGGGGGCCGCGUUUGCAAACGUUCCUCUCUUCUAUUCUUUCUCUUUUCUCUUUUAUUCUGUUUCUGUUAUUCUCCAAUAAACCUUUGUUUUGUUAACCAGACUUGUCUUCCUAUUGUGAGUAUCAAAAUUUGGGGUUUUUACAUCUCACAAUCUUGGUGGAGGAUGCGGGCAUUAAGAGCUUCUAGGGGACACUGGUCUCAGUAAAAUCAGGAGCGCGCCUGUUGAUUUCAACUGCCUGAAGUUAUCUGAGAUCUAGUUUCCCUUUGCAGGCUCCGAGCCAAACUAAAUUGACAACUCUGGUUUACAAAAAUCAAAGGACAGGAAAUAGGAAGAAAGUCAACAACUGAAGCCCAGACCAGGUAACCCAGUGCACUGGCCCAGAAAGGCAUUCUUGCCCAAACUCCUUGGACUUUGUAGUACACCAAUACAAAGCAGGACAGUGGGUGUUGAUAAAAGCCUGGAGAGAGGAAAAACUAACUCCAACCUGGGAAGGACUUUACAUCAUCUUGUUAACCACUGAGACAGCUAUCAGGACAGCUGAAAAAGGUUGGACCAUUACUCCCAAGUAAAAGGGCCUGUGCCAGCCCCAGAGGAGUGGAAGGUGGAAUCUCACCAAGGAGAUUCACUGAAGCUAAAGUUCCGAAGGACUUCAUGGACUAAUAGUCAAUCUUCCUGACAGAAAGGGGGGUAAUAGAGGAAAAAGAACUAAACUUUAUAUUUCUUUUUCUAUCUAGAACCAAAGGAAAACCAAGACCUCCCGCAUGUGCUGAUUUUGUGGGUAUCUUUGUGGGUGUUGUUGCUGCUCUCACUGUAUUAAUUGUGUUCAGUGCACAGGGUGUGAGAUAGAGUGUGAUAUUAAGUCUUAGAAGAUGUAUUGGAACAUUACAAGAUGGUAUGUCUGGGGGGGUAGUUUCUUAUUAUACUCUUAAAACCUAUCCAACUAUUAGAAUCAUGUAAGCAAUGUGUAAAAAUGACAAAGGGAGAAGGAGAAAAUAUACACUGACUCCAAGUAUGUUUAUGGAGUUUUGAAUACUGGUGGAAGAAGAAAAAAAAGAAAAGUUAUGCUAGAGUGGCAGAAGGGAAGGAAGGAAUGGUUAAUAAAAGAAAGAAACAGGAAAGUUGUUUUAAGUUUGUUUGCACAGACUUGUGAAUUGCAUGCAUUAAGCAGGGAGACUGCCAUUAAAGUGGUCAGCCCAAACGUGUGAAUUGUAUGCCUUAACACAAGCCUUAGAAUGUUGAAGGAAUAAGAAUGUACUAAAGAUGGGAGGUGGAUGUUGCAAGAUGGGAGAGGGAUGUUGAAAAGAAAAAAGAAAAAAACAACAACAAAACAAUGGCUAGAACACAGAAGCAGCCACUGAAGGGGGGUCACAAGGGAUGAUUAAUAUUUUCUACAACAGGAUGGUUGUAUUUAUAUUUUAGUUAAACAAAUAUGUGAUAAAAUUCAAGUUAAAAAAAAAAA